CCGUGGUGCUGGAGAGGCUGGAUGACAUGGCCUCGAGCUCUUCUUUGGUGGCAUCUCGGUUCUUCGCGAGGGGGCCAUUGUUGUGGCGAGAGUAGGACGAGUGCGUGAGCGCGUCCUGGAGUAACGUGGAGUCGUUGAACUUGUAGCUGGAGAAACCAAGAUGAGAGGGUGUCUGAUGUCUCCUUGAGCUUGAUGGAGAUCGCCUGAGAACACUACGCUUGAGAAAUAGGGAGGUACUGAAAGUAAAACGAACAUACCUGGACGAGUAGCAGUGCCGCGAAUACGAACCAAACGGUUCUCAUUGUAGAAUGCAAGAACCCUAGUUACUUC